rnacentral:rRNA from 1 species
GACGAACGCUGGCGGCGUGCUUAACACAUGCAAGUCGAACGGUAAGGCCCUUCGGGGUACACGAGUGGCGAACGGAUGAGUAACACGUGGGUGAUCUGCCCUGCACUUCGGGAUAAGCCUGGGAAACUGGGUCUAAUACCGGAUAGGACCACUGCCUGCAUGGGUGGUGGUGGAAAGCUUUUGCGGUGUGGGAUGGGCCCGCGGCCUUUCAGCUUGUUGGUGGGGUGAUGGCCUACCAAGGCGACGACGGGUAGCCGGCCUGAGAGGGUGACCGGCCACACUGGGACUGAGAUACGGCCCAGACUCCUACGGGAGGCAGCAGUGGGGAAUAUUGCACAAUGGGCGCAAGCCUGAUGCAGCGACGCCGCGUGAGGGAUGACGGCCUUCUGGUUGUAAACCUCUUUCAGCACCGACGAAGCGCAAGUGACGGUAGGUGCAGAAGAAGGACCGGCCAACUACGUGCCAGCCGCCGCAGUAACAC